rnacentral:sRNA from 1 species
UCCCCCAGCCCAAGAAUAUAGAAGAGUGAGAACUAGAAUGUUUGCUAGACUCUUAGAUUGAUCGCUCAGGACAAGGAUCCUGGCACUCACAACAAUAGGAGAGCAGUGCUAAUAUCUGUGAUGGUGUAGUGUUUUAUCAGAGCCGAAGUCUUGGUAUGUGGCCCAGACUAACAUCAAAUUCACUGUAUAGCCUAAUGUGACCUCAGAUUGGCAGCAACCUUCCUUUCGGCUUCCUGAGCACUGGAAUUACAAGAUGAAAUAGGACCAACUUCCUCACAUUCCUCCCUUCACAGAUUCCUCAUCAUAAUGGACUGCUCCCUCAGACUGUGAGGAAGGAGAGACAUAACCCUUUGGAAGUGAGUUGGGAGCCUAGCUGUGAUUAGACCCAAGAUAUGAUCAGUGUCCUGCUCAGCCAUCACCAGAGAACCUUCCCACCUCGGCAAAUGGGAACAAACACAGAGACCCACAGUCAGACAUCAUGCGGAGAGCGAGAGACGUUGGAAUACUCAGUACAGAACUGGAUAUCCUCGUCCAAUCCCUCCCCUAAGGGCUCAGAGAAGCCCAUGGAAGACGAGGCAGAGAGAAUGUAACAGCCAGAGGGGAUGAAGAACCCAAGGAAACAAGGCCAUCUGAACCAUCAAGACAGAUGCACACAUGAACUCACAGAGACUGAGGUAGCAUGCACCGAGCCUUCAAAGUGGGCAUGUGAUAGGGUUCAGGUGCUGAAAGGAGAAAUGGAUACAUGUCCCCAUCCCUAACCUAGAAGCUAUCUCCCACUGAUAACCACUUUCAAAUAAAAGUUUUUUUUUUCCAAAGGAGUCUCACUGGAGAAACAAACUACUCUUAAGGGGAGGGGCAUGACCAGCUGCAGACGCCAACAGUCGGUGAACUCACAGGCAUUGGUGGAGGUCCCUGUCUCAGUGUCACGUCAGGGCCUUUUCUUCUCUUUUAUUAGUUUUAAACUUUACCUUUUUUAUUCUUUAUAUUUAUAAUAAAGGAUCUACAGGUCCUUUGCAUAUACAUUACAGGAUCUGGUUUUACGUUUUUAUGGAAAGUUUGAGCAGACAAAUGAGUGGCUCUUAUGUCUUUUCUUGGGCUCUUUUCCUUCUGUUUGUAUUCUCCUAUUCUGAUUUGUUUCUAUUUUAUCAUAUUAUAUUAUAUCGUUUCAUAUAAUAUUCCCUUAUACACAGGGAAACAGAAAGAAAGUGGAUCAGGAUGGGAAGGAAUGUGGGCAGGAACAGGGCAGAGUAGGAGGAAAGAAACUGUAAUGAAGGUAUGUUGUAUGAAAACAAUCCAUUCUCAAUAAAAGGAAAAAAUCACAAA